CUUUCAUGAUGACUUCUAUCAGUUCUGCUACUGAAUAAUUUUGACGAUAAAAAAAAUACCAAAACCACUGAUAA